UACGUAGGGUGCAAGCGUUAAUCGGAAUCACUGGGCGUAAAGCGCACGUAGGCGGCUUUUUAAGUCAGAGGUGAAAUCCUGGAGCUCAACUCCAGAACUGCCUUUGAUACUGGAGAGCUUGAGUCCGGGAGAGGUGAGUGGAACUGCCAGUGUAGAGGUGAAAUUCGUAGAUAUUGGGAAGAACACCGGUGGCGAAGGCGGCUAUCUGGACCGUAACUGACGCUGAGGCGCGAAAGCGUGGGGAGCAAACAGG
rnacentral:rRNA from 1 species